AAUUGGAUGGCAAGUCUGGUGCCAGCAGCCGCGGUAAUUCCAGCUCCAAUAGCGUAUAUUAAAGUUGUUGCAGUUAAAAAGCUCGUAGUUGAAUUUCGGGAUCAAUGGGUUGGUCAUGCCCUCGGUAUGUACUGAUUUCAUUGGUUCUCACCUUCUAAGGAACCAUGAUGUCAUUUGUUUGAUGAUGUGGGAAGUUAGGACUGUUACCUUGAAAAAAUUAGAGUGUUUAAAGCAGGCUAACGCUUGAAUACAUUAGCAUGGAAUAAUGAAAUAGGACAUCCGAUUCUAUUUUGUUGGUUUCUAGGAUCGAUGUAAUGAUUAAUAGGGAUAGUUGGGGGCAUUAGUAUUCAAUUGUCAGAGGUGAAAUUCUUGGAUUUAUUGAAGACUAACUACUGCGAAAGCAUUUGCCAAGGAUGUUUUCAUUAAUCAAGAACGAAAGUUAGGGGAUCGAAGACGAUCAGAUACCGUCGUAGUCUUAACCAUAAACUAUGCCGACUAGGGAUCGGAUGAUGCUUAUUUUUUAAUGACUCAUUCGGCACCUUACGGGAAACCAAAGUGU
rnacentral:rRNA from 1 species